CCGGCGCACGGGUGAGUAACGCGUAUGCAACUUACCUAUCAGGAGGGGAUAACCCGGCGAAAGUCGGACUAAUACCGCAUGAAGCAGGGGCCCCGCAUGGGGAUAUUUGCUAAAGAUUCAUCGCUGAUAGAUAGGCAUGCGCUCCAUUAGGCAGUUGGCGGGGUAACGGCCCACCAAACCGACGAUGGAUAGGGGUUCUGAGAGGAAGGUCCCCCACAUUGGUACUGAGACACGGACCAA
rnacentral:rRNA from 1 species